AAAAAGACAAACCCUGAGUUUCCGUGUCCAACGUUUGGCUGUCCAUCUUAUAUGAAAUUUUUUUUAUAAUUAGUAUUUUCAUUGUUGUUAGAUGAUAAAACAUGAUUAAUACUUUAUACGUGACUUGUUUUUUUAAUUUUUUUCAUAAUUUUUUCAAAUAAGACGGACGGUCAAACGUUGGACACGGAAACCUAGUGUUUGUCUUUCU
rfam:Oryza sativa Japonica Group DNA, chromosome 11, cultivar: Nipponbare, complete sequence.